GCCUUCGUAGUGUAGUGGUCAUCACGCUCGGCACGUAAUCCAGAGGUCCGUGGUUCGAGUCCCGGCGAGGGCA
rfam:Stegodyphus mimosarum contig8229, whole genome shotgun sequence.